GUUGGGAGGGCAUAGUGUUGGGAGGGCAUAGUGUAGUGUUGGGAGGGCAUAGUGUUGGGAGGGCAUAGUGUAGUGUUGGGAGGGCAUAGUGUAGUGUAGGGAGGGCAUAGUGUAGUGUAGGGAGGGCAUAGUGUUGGGAGGGCAUAGUGUUGGGAGGGCAUAGUGUAGUGUAGGGAGGGCAUAGUGUAGGGAGGGCAUAGUGUAGUGUUGGGAGGGCAUAGUGUAGUGUUGGGAGGGCAUAGUGUAGGGAGGGCAUAGUGUAGUGUUGGGAGGGCAUAGUGUAGGGAGGGCAUAGUGUUGGGAGGGCAUAGUGUUGGGAGGGCAUAGUGUAGUGUAGGGAGGGCAUAGUGUUGGGAGGGCAUAGUGUUGGGAGGGCAUAGUGUAGUGUUGGGAGGGCAUAGUGUAGGGAGGGCAUAGUGUAGUGUUGGGAGUGCAUAGUGUUGGGAGGGCAUAGUGUUGGGAGGGCAUAGUGUAGUGUAGGGAGGGCAUAGUGUAGUGUUGGGAGGGCAUAUUGUAGUGUUGGGAGGGCAUAGUGUAGGGAGGGCAUAGUGUAGGGAGGGCAUAGUGUAGUGUUGGGAGGGCAUAGUGUUGGGAGGGCAUAGUGUAGUGUUGGGAGGGCAUAGUGUUAGGAGGGCAUAGUGUAGAGAGGGCAUAGUGUAGUGUUGGGAGGGCAUAGUGUUGGGAGGGCAUAGUGUAGGGAGGGCAUAGUGUUGGGAGGGCAUAGUGUAGUGUUGGGAGGGCAUAGUGUAGUGUAGGGAGGGCAUAGUGUAGUGUUGGGAGGGCAUAGUGUAGUGUUGGGAGGGCAUAGUGUUGGGAGGGCAUAGUGUAGGGAGGGCAUAGUGUUGGGAGGGCAUAGUGUAGGGGGG
rnacentral:lncRNA from 1 species